rnacentral:pre_miRNA from 1 species
UAUAAUUUUUUACUAUUCGUCUUAUUCAAUUUUUUUCGAUUGAUAUUUUUGUUUUUAUUAGAUGAUAAAUCAUGAAUAGUACUCUAUGUGUGACUAAUUUUUUUCUAAUUUUCUGAAAAAUUUUCAAAUAAGACGGAUGAUCAAAUGUUGGACACGGAAACCGAAG